AUGGCCUGGACCCCUCUUCUGCUCCCCCUCCUCACUCUCUGCACAGGUUCUCUGGCCUCUUCUGAGCUGACUCAGCCUCCUGCGGUGUCCGUGGCCCUGGGACAGAUAGCCAGGAUUACCAGCCAGGGAGGCAGCUUUGGAAGCGAUUAUGCUCACUGGUACCAGCAGAAGCCAGGACAGGCCCCUGUGCUGGUCAUUUACAGAGAUAACAAGCAGCUCUCAGGCAUUCCUGACCAAUUCUCUGGCUCCAGAUCAGGGAACACAGCCACCCUGACCAUCAGCGGGGCCCAGACAGAGGAUGAGGCUGACUAUUACUGUCAGUCUGGAGGUGCUUACAAUUCUGAAGUUCACAACGACACACACUAG